AACGAACGCUGGCGGCAUGCCUAACACAUGCAAGUCGAACGAUUGCCUUCGGGUGAUAGUGGCGCACGGGUGCGUAACGCGUGGGAAUCUGCCCUUAGGUUCGGAAUAACAGCUGGAAACGGCUGCUAAUACCGGAUGAUAUCGCGAGAUCAAAGAUUUAUCGCCUGAGGAUGAGCCCGCGUUGGAUUAGGUAGUUGGUGGGGUAAAGGCCUACCAAGCCGACGAUCCAUAGCUGGUCUGAGAGGAUGAUCAGCCACACUGGGACUGAGACACGGCCCAGACUCCUACGGGAGGCAGCAGUGGGGAAUAUUGGACCAUGGGCGCAAGCCUGAUCCAGCAAUGCCGCGUGAGUGAUGAAGGCCCUAGGGUUGUAAAGCUCUUUUACCCGGGAAGAUAAUGACUGUACCGGGAGAAUAAGCCCCGGCUAACUCCGUG
rnacentral:rRNA from 1 species